ACGUAGGAUCCGAGCGUUGUCCGGAAUUACUGGGCAUAAAGGGAGCGUAGGCGGACAUGUGCGUCAGAGGUUAAAUACAACGGCUUAACCGUUGACCGCCUUUGAUACGGCAUGUCUUGAGUACGAGAGAGGCGAGUGGAAUUCCUGGUGUAGCGGUGAAAUGCGUAGAUAUCAGGAGGAACACCUGCGGCGAAGGCGACUCGCUGGCUCGUAACUGACGCUGAGGCUCGAAAGCGUGGGGAUCAAACAG
rnacentral:rRNA from 1 species